rnacentral:rRNA from 1 species
UACAGAGGUCUCAAGCGUUGUUCGGAUUCAUUGGGCGUAAAGGGUGCGUAGGCGGCUUGGUAAGUUGGGUGUGAAAGCCCCGGGCUCAGCCCGGGAAGGGCACUCGAAACUGCCGAGCUGGAGUGCCGGAGGGGAGAGUGGAAUUCCUGGUGUAGCGGUGAAAUGCGUAGAUAUCAGGAGGAAUACCGGUGGCGAAAGCGACUCUCUGGACGGCAACUGACGCUGAGGCACGAAAGCGUGGGGAGCAAACAGG